AUUGAACGCUGGCGGCAUGCCUUACACAUGCAAGUCGAACGGCAGCGCGGGAGCAAUCCUGGCGGCGAGUGGCGAACGGGUGAGUAAUAUAUCGGAACGUGCCCAGUAGCGGGGGAUAACGCAGCGAAAGUUGUGCUAAUACCGCAUACGCACUACGGUGGAAAGAGGGGGAUCGCAAGACCUCUCACUAUUGGAGCGGCCGAUAUCAGAUUAGCUUGUUGGCGGGGUAAAAGCCCACCAAGGCGACGAUCUGUAGCUGGUUUGAGAGAACGACCAGCCACACUGGGACUGAGACACGGCCCAGACUCCUACGGGAGGAAGCAGUGGGGAAUUUUGGACAAUGGGCGCAAGCCUGAUCCAGCCAUGCCGCGUGCGGGAAGAAGGCCUUCGGGUUGUAAACCGCUUUUGUUCGGGAAGAAAUUGACUGGGCUAAUACCCCGGUUAGAUGACGGUACCGGAAGAAUAAGCACCGGCUAACUACGUGCCAGCCGCCGCUGUAAAAC
rnacentral:rRNA from 1 species